UACAGAGGCCUCGAGCGUUAGGUGGAAUCACUGGGCUUAAAGCGUGUGUAGGUGGAUGCCUAAGUACCUUGUGAAAUCCCGGAGCUCAACUCCGGAACUGCCUUUGAUACUGGGGAUCUUGAGUUCGAGAGAGGUGAGUGGAACUGCGAGUGUAGAGGUGAAAUUCGUAGAUAUUCGCAAGAACACCAGUGGCGAAGGCGGCUCACUGGCUCGAUACUGACGCUGAGACGCGAAAGCGUGGGGAGCGAACAGG
rnacentral:rRNA from 1 species